rnacentral:rRNA from 1 species
UGAGCAAUCUGCCCUUCUCUUCGGAAUAAGCGUUGGAAACGACGUCUAAUGCCGAAUACGACCUCCUUUCGCAUGAUCGGAGGUGGAAAGCUCCGGCGGAGAAGGAUGAGCUCGCGGCCUAUCAGCUAGUUGGUGUGGGUAAUGGCCCACCAAGGCGACGACGGGUAGCCGGCCUGAGGAGGGUGACCCGGCCACACGUGGGACUGAGACACCGGCCCAGACCUCCGUACGGGAGGNAGCG